rnacentral:rRNA from 1 species
AUUGAACGCUGGCGGCAGGCCUAACACAUGCAAGUCGAACGAGUGGCGGACGGGUGAGUAAUGUAUGGGAAACUGCCCGAUGGAGGGGGAUAACUACUGGAAACGGGAGAUAAUACCGCAUAACAUCGGGAGUGCCCAGAUGGGUUUAGCUUGUAGGUGGGGUAACGGCUCACCUAGGAGACGAUCCCUAGGUGGUCUGAGAGGAUGACCAGCCACCCUGGAACUGAGACACGGUCCAGCCUCCUACGGGAGGCAGCAGGGGGGAAUAUUGCACAAUGGGCGCAAGCCUGAUGCAGCCAUGCCGCGUGUAUGAAGAAGGCCUUCGGGUUGUAAAGUACUUUCAGCGAGGAGGCGUUACUCGCAGAAGAAGCACCGGCUAACUCCGUGCCAGCAGCCGCGGUAAUAC